AACCGAUUGGUGAUCCCACG
rnacentral:misc_RNA from 1 species